rnacentral:rRNA from 1 species
AACUCUCAACGAUGGAUGCCUCGGCUCGAGAAUCGAUGAAGGACGCAGCGAAGUGCGAUAAGCACUGCGAUUUGCAGAAUUCCGUGAACCAGUAGAAAUCUCAACGCAUACUGCACAAAGGGGAUCUUUCCUCUUUGUACAUACAUAUCAGUGUCGCUCUU